ensembl:lncRNA
GCCAAAGCUGGCAUUUGAACCAAAAUCUGAUUGGACACAAGACGCUGUGUUCCAUGACAGUAAGUCCCCUGUAUAUGCACUUUCAGGCUGUGAACUUUCCAAGAUGUGAGUGUGCCCCUGUGUGCCAGCUAUCGUACCAUUGCCGUUUAGUUGCUCAGUUGUGUCCACCUCUUUUGCAACCCCGUGGACUGCAGCCCGUCAGGCUACUCUGGCCAUGGGAUUUCCCAGGCAAGAAUACUGGAGUGGGUUGCCAUUUCCUUCUCCAGGGGAUCUUUCCUGACCCAGGGAUUGAAGUCACAUCUCCAGCAUUGGCAGGCAGGUUCUUUACCACUGAACCACCAGGGAAGCCCUAUUGUACUGCACUACUGUACUUUUCAAGUUGUACCUAUCAACCAUUACCCAGCUCUUACUCCAGGACUCCGAACACUUUUUGUGGAACAGACUUUGCUGUGUCCGGUGAGUUUAUAUUUCCUAUACUACAGUAUAUUCAUCUCUCUUUGGGGUCAGCAUUUCCCCUGGUAUUUUGUGUUAGUUGUUGUUCAGUUGCUAAUUUGUGUCUGACUCUUUGCGACCCCAUGUACUGCAGCAAGCCAGGCUCCUCUGUCCUUCACUAUCUCCUAGAAUUUGCUCAAAUUUUGUGUUAGUAAAUGUUCUUUUAAAAAAAAGGAAACCGUUCUUAAAGUCUUUAUUGAAUGUGUUGCCAUAUUGCUUCUGUUUCAUGGUUUUUGGUUUUUUGACCAUGAGGUAUAUGGGAUCUCAGUUCCCUGGCCAGGGAUUGAAUCCACACCCCCUGCAUUGGAAGAUGAAGUUCUAACCACUGGACCGCCAAGGAAGUCCCAGUAAAUGUUCUUAAAGUUACUGGUUUUUCUUGGUUUGUGGUUUGAUUCACUUGUAUAUUCUGAGGAAAGCUAUGAAACACAUUCAAGAACAAAAACACACAGGCACGUAUGCACAGAUUGUGCAUGAAAUUUUAGGAGAAUCAAGGAUCCCCUAGGACUUUCCUAAGCGGGGUCCCCAGGCCAGCAGCACCAGCAUUGUUGAGAGCUUGUUGAAGAGGCAAAUCCUUCGGCCCUCCUAAUCAGAAACUCUGGGGCUGAGGACCAGUGAUCUGGGCAUUAAUAAGCUUUCCAGAUGAUUCUGAUGACCGAAUGUUUAAGAACCGCAGCAUGAGAGGAUGCCAUUCACAUCCUGCAAUAAAUAUCAGCUCUCCAAGAGCA